UACAGAGGGUGCAAGCGUUAAUCGGAAUUACUGGGCGUAAAGGGCGCGUAGGUGGUUUAUUAAGUCAGAUGUGAAAUACCUGGGCUUAACCUAGGAAUGGCAUUUGAAACUGAUUAGCUAGAGUGUGGGAGAGGGAAGUGGAAUUUCCGGUGUAGCGGUGAAAUGCGUAGAUAUCGGAAGGAACACCAGUGGCGAAGGCGACUUCCUGGCCCAUUACUGACACUGAGGCGCGAAAGCGUGGGGAGCGAACAGG
rnacentral:rRNA from 1 species